CACAAGUAAGAGGUGUGGUGUUCUCUAAUGAGCAUGAAGCAGCUCUAGCUGUUAAUUUCUGCAACUGCUUUUUGCCACUGAUGAUCGUUCUUCUCUUCCUGUGGGACCACGAGAGGGAAAGGAUGCAGUCUGAGUG
rnacentral:snoRNA from 1 species